rnacentral:rRNA from 1 species
AUUUAGUAUAUUAUAUAUAUUUUUUAUUUUUUUAUUUUUAUAAAAAUAUUUUUAUUUUUAGUAUUUUUUAGAAAAAAAUAUAUUUUGUUAUAGUGAAUAUUACUGUGAAGGAAUUAUAUUAUUUAUUUAUAAGUAGUUUUGUUUAACAUACCUUUUGUAUCAGGGUUUAUCAAAAAUAGGAAUUUAUGUUUUUUUUCCCGAAAGUUCAAGAUAUAUGAUAAGAUUAUAGUUAAUAUUUUAGUAUUAUUAUUAAUUUUGUUAUAGAGAAUAUAUUUUAUUCAAUUGAACUAUAUCUGGUUUUUUUGGAAUUUGGUUUAAUCAAGGAUUAAUUUUUAUAUAUUUAUAUAUUUUUUUUUAAUCUCAAAUAGAUAAGGAUAAGCUUAUUUAUUUUUCUAAAAUAUAUAUAUUCAUGAUUUUAAGUAGGAAUAAAAAUAUCCAUCAUAUAUUUUUUAAUAAUUAAUUUUCUUAUUAUUUUAAUUUAUUGGAAAUUUAGUUUAUUACCAAAAUUAAUUAUUUAAUUUACAUUUAAUUGGAAUAAUGAUAUAAUUAGUAUUUUAUAUAUAUGAAAUAUAGGAACUCGGCAAAUAUUAUUUUCACCUGUUUAACAAAAACAUGGUCUUUUGUCUAUAUAAAAGAUCUGGCCUGCCCUAUGAUUUAUAAUUAAAUGGCUGCAGUAUUUUGACUGUACAAAGGUAGCAUAAUCAUUUGUCUUUUAAUUGAAGACUGGAAUGAAUGGUUGGAUGAGAAAUAUUCUUUCUUUAUUUUAUAUAAAAAAUUUAAUUUUUUAGUUAAAAAGCUAAAAUCUUGUUAUAGGACGAGAAGACCCUAUAGAACUUUACUUAAUUUUUAUAUAAAAUUUAUGUAUUUUUAAAAUUUUAUAUUUUAAUAUUGAGUUUCGUUGGGGUGACGAAAAAAAUUUUAUAACUUUUUCUAAUUUUUUCAUAUAUUUAUGUUUUUUUUAUCCUUUAUUAAGGAAAUAAGAUUAAGUUACCUUAGGGAUAACAGCGUUAUUUUUUCGGAGAGUUCAUAUCGAUGAAAGAGUUUGCGACCUCGAUGUUGGAUUAAAAUAAGUUGCAGGGGUAUAAUAUUGUAUACUAGGUCUGUUCGACCUUUAAAUUUUUACAUGAUCUGAGUUCAGACCGGCGUGAGCCAGGUCGGUUUCUAUCCUUAAUUUUUUUUAAAAUUUUAGUACGAAAGGACCAAGUUUUAGGAAUAUUUUUUUAUAUUAUAAUGAUUAUAUUAAUUAA